AACGAACGCUGGCGGCAGGCCUAACACAUGCAAGUCGAACGCCCAGUAAUGGGAGUGGCGCACGGGUGCGUAACGCGUGGGAAUAUGCCCUUCACUACGGAACAACGUCUGGAAACGAACGCUAAUACCGUAUAAUGACUCCGGUCCAAAGAUUUAUCGGUGAAGGAUUAGCCCGCGAUAGAUUAGCUAGUUGGUGAGGUAAUGGCUCACCAAGGCAACGAUCUAUAGGGGGUCUGAGAGGAUGAUCCCCCACACUGGAACUGAGACACGGUCCAGACUCCUACGGGAGGCAGCAGUGAGGAAUAUUGGACAAUGGGCGCAAGCCUGAUCCAGCCAUGCCGCGUGAGUGAUGAAGGCCUUCGGGUUGUAAAGCUCUUUUCACGGUGAAGAUAAUGACGGUAGCCGUAGAAAAAGCCCCGGCUAAAUUCGUGCCAGCCGCCGCAGUAA
rnacentral:rRNA from 1 species